AGCCGCGGUAAUUCCAGCUCCAUUGGCGUAUAUUAAAGUUGUUGCGGUUAAAAAGCUCGUAGUUGGAUCUGUGUAUCGGACGGUCGGUUCGCCGCUCGCGGUGUUUAACUGACCGGUCCGGACGUCCUGCCGGUGGGCGCCGGUUCGCGCCGGUGCCCGUAACUCCCUCCGCGCUGCUCUUAACCGAGUGGUUCGGUGGGCCGGCACGUUUACUUUGAACAAAUUUGAGUGCUCAAAGCAGGCCUUUUGUUGCCUGAAAACUGUGUGCAUGGAAUAAUGGAAUAGGGCCUUGGUUCUAUUUUGUUGGUUUUCUGAACUCGAGGUAAUGAUUAAUAGGGACAGACGGGGGCAUUCGUAUUGCGACGUUAGAGGUGAAAUUCUUGGAUCGUCGCAAGACGGACCGAUGCGAAAGCGUUUGCCAAGAAUGUUUUCGCUAAUCAAGAACGAAAGUUAGAGGUUCGAAGGCGAUCAGAUACCGCCCUAGUUCUAACCAUAAACGAUGCCAGCCAGCGAUGCGCCGACGUUCCUCCGAUGACUCGGCGCGCAGCUUCCGGGAAACCAAAGCUUUUGGGUUCCGGGGGAA
rnacentral:rRNA from 1 species